GACGAACGCUGGCGGCGCGCCUAACACAUGCAAGUCGAACGAGCGAGAGAGAGCUUGCUUUCUCGAGCGAGUGGCGAACGGGUGAGUAACGCGUGAGGAACCUGCCUCAAAGAGGGGGACAACAGUUGGAAACGACUGCUAAUACCGCAUAAGCCCACAGCUCGGCAUCGAGCAGAGGGAAAAGGAGCAAUCCGCUUUGAGAUGGCCUCGCGUCCGAUUAGCUAGUUGGUGAGGUAAUGGCCCACCAAGGCGACGAUCGGUAGCCGGACUGAGAGGUUGAACGGCCACAUUGGGACUGAGACACGGCCCAGACUCCUACGGGAGGCAGCAGUGGGGAAUAUUGCACAAUGGGGGAAACCCUGAUGCAGCGACGCCGCGUGGAGGAAGAAGGUCUUCGGAUUGUAAACUCCUGUUGUUGAGGAAGAUAAUGACGGUAC
rnacentral:rRNA from 1 species